UAGUCAACGGCGACUUUACCAACUUCACAUUUAGCAGAAGCGCUAUCACUUCUCAGCGAUUUUAUUUUAAAUAUAGCGAGCCAUCGACACUAAUAUUCAGAAUCAGCAAUCACAACCAUUGAUAUCCCAACGCAGAUGAAUCAACGGCGCAAAAAACGUUUACACGUCGAACACGAAAAUUACCGUAGGCGGGUGUCGCAGAGGAUAAAUCUUAUAUAGAUACAUACAGCAGGGAUGUACGUAUCUUACAGAGUCGACUGAAGCGGAGCUCAUAAACAAUGGAGGAAAAGCGAAGGGACUCCGCCGGUAUUUCGCCUCCGACGGCGUCGGCGAUGGAGGCUUCACCGUCGGAGCAGCCGAUUUCUCGGCGGAGAGGCGGUUUGAAGAGGAAAUCUGCCUCCAUCAACAACAGCGGAGGCAGCUCGGCUUCUCAAACGACGUCUUCGAAGAGACAGGCGAGGGAGAAGCCUCAGGCGGUUCCUUUCCCUCCGAUCCACAUGAACGGGCCCUGCACUAGGGCACGCGUGCAGCCGUACAACAGCAGCAGCUUGUCUGAGGUGGCUUUGCUGAAGAGCGAGGUGGAGGCUAGGGAGGCGGCGGCGGCGAGGGCUGAGGAGGUUAGUAGACUGACCGAGAAUUGGGAGGCAAUGGAGGCGAAGAUUGAGGCUGAGUACGAAACGAUUAGAUCGAGAGAUGCAAGUGCUCACGUAGUGCCUAUUCAUGCCGGUUGGUUUUCAUGGACAAAAACCCAUCCAUUGGAAGAGAGAAUGCUGCCUUCAUUCUUCAAUGGGAAAUCAGAAAGUAGGACUCCAGAAAUAUAUAUGGAGAUACGUAAUUGGAUAAUGAAAAAGUUUCACCUGGAUCCUAAUACAAAAGUUGAGUUGAAGCAUCUGUCCGAACUUACUGUUGGAGAACCAGAUGCUCGACAAGAGGUGAUGGAGUUCCUGGACUACUGGGGAUUGAUUAAUUAUCAUCCUUUCCCAAACCAGGAGCCUGCUGCUAUGAAUGUCGAUGUGGAUGCUAACAAGGAUGAAUCUGGGAAUAUUGAAUCAUUGGUUGAAAAACUCUUUAAGUUUGAAGCAGUGCAAUCAUGGAGUCCAGUUAUUGCCAGGAUGAACAUGAAUACACCAUCCGUUUCGUCUGGCUUGCUUCCAGAAGCUGUUGUUGCUGAUGAACUAGUCAAGUCUGAAGGUCCUUCUGUCGAGUACCAUUGUAAUUCUUGUUCAGCGGAUUGUUCACGGAAGCGAUAUCACUGCCAGAAGCAGGCAGAUUUUGAUCUCUGUGCUGAGUGUUACAACAACGGGAAGUUCGGGUCGGAUAUGUCCCCAUUAGAUUUCAUUCUUAUGGAACCACCAGAAGCUGGUGGUGCUAGUGGAGGGAAAUGGACAGAUCAAGAAACUCUUCUGCUCCUUGAAGCUAUAGAAUUAUUUAGAGAUAACUGGAGCGAGAUUGCUGAGCAUGUUGCAACAAAGACCAAAGCUCAGUGUAUAUUGCACUUUGUUCAAAUGCCAAUUGAAGAUACUUUUUUCAAUCAUGGUGAUGAAAACAAUGAUGUUCCUAAGGAAAAUGGGGCAUCGGAUUCCAUCAGCAAUAAAAACUCUACUCCUGAAGCUGACAAAGAUAGUGAUGCUGCUCCUAAAGAUGCCGUUGAGAAAACAGAAAGCCAGGGUGGUAGUACUGACAAUCAGGACUCAUCCUGUCCAAUGGAGAUCUCAAAGGUUAAUGAGGUCAAGGCAUCAGAUGCGAGUCUUGAAGCUGGAGAGAGUUUUGCAUUGAAGGCUCUCAAGGAAGCAUUUGAAGCCGUGUGUUCUUUUCCUUCACCUGGAGAAAGAUUAUGCUUAGCUGAAGCUGGUAACCCUGUGAUGACAUUGGCUGCAUUUCUAGUACGACUGGUGGACCCUAAUAUUGCCAAUGCAUCCGUUUGUAGCCUAUUGAAAUCUGUCUCUAGUGGUUAUUCCUGUGAGCAGCUUGCAGCCAGGCACUGCUUCUCUCUGGAAGAUCCUCCGGGUGACGAGAAGAGUUCGGCUGAUGCCGAAGGAGAUGCAACUAAAACACCCGAGAAUGAACCUAAGAAGGACAAGGAUGAAAAUGCUGAAAAACUAGAGAAAAUUCCUGAUUCAGUUGUUUUACUUGAUGAUGGAAAUGAUGGCAACAAGGAUUCUGCUCCUGAAGAAAAUAAUAGAGGAGAUGAUUCUGCUUCCAAGGACCAGAAAGAUGCAGCUUCUCCCAAACCUGAUGGUACAGACAGAUCUGUUACUGUUAAGGAACCUGAUGUAGUGGCUACCAAGGAAGAAGCCAAAUCAAACUCGCAGAAUACCCCUGGUAGCUCUGAUUUGCCCAAGGAAACAGUGCCAAAAGAUGCUGAAGAAUCAGCUGUCUCUACAUCUCAAACUGAGGUUCAAUCAAAUUCUGCCAAGGUAGCAGGAGGUGUAGCUGUAGCUGUGGAGGGCUCUCAUUCUAAAGAGCCUAUUAAAGAAGAGGAUAUGGCAUCCAUCUCUGAAAGCAAAGGGGCUGAUGCAUUGGUGAUCUCAAAUUCAACUGAAAAAGACGACCGUGCAGUAGGUGAUAGAGAAGCUAAAGGAUGUGGUAAUGAAAAGAAAGAGUCUGAAGCGCCAAAAAAAUAUCUUGAUUCUGAUGAGAAGCUAAAACGAGCUGCAGUGACCGCCCUCUCAGCUGGAGCAGUGAAAGCAAAGCUUCUGGCGGAUCAAGAAGAAGAUCAAAUACUUCAGCUGUCCACAUUUCUAAUAGAAAAGCAGUGGCUUGAAGCUUUCUUUUUCUUGUCAUUGAGGUCGUACUAGGGUUUCACAAAGCCUAUUCUAUUUGUUUAUAUGCACCCUGUAUAGCUUAGGCUGCUUUGGUUGCAGUUGUACAAGCUGGAGACCAAGUUGGCUUUCUUUGCUGAUAUGGAAAACGUCGGGAUGAGGGUUAGGGAACUGUUGGAGCGGUCGAAACAGAGGCUCUUCCAUGAGAGAGCACAGAUAAUUGCAACACGAUUUGGGAUGCCUCCGGGAUCAGCUCGUCCAGCUUCACAGAAUCUACCUCCCAACAGGGCAGCAGGUGCUUUCCCCAAUGCGGCGUCUAGACCCUUAAUGGGCAUGAACUCCCUUCGGCCUCCUAUUUCGAGACCCAUGAUGCCGCCAAAUCCUACUUCAAGCACUAUGUUGACUGGAAACGCCACAGGAAGUUCGAUGCAGCCCAACGCAGAUAAGCUUUCUUCAGUUGGCAUGAAGUAGCCUCCAAAGUGUACUGCCAAUCAUCUUCUGCUCCAAAUGUCUGCACACCUUCACUUCUACCGAGUUGAUUCGUAAAUGAUAUUGUGGUGAAAGAGGCCUUGAUGCACUUGCACCGAUCCAAAUUCGAGAAUGUUAUGUCGAAUCGGAAUUAGAAUCAGCUGAAAAUGAUCCAACGAGGGAGGUGGACAACGUAAAAGAAUCCUAUCUAUGACUGAGAAGGAAAAGCUUCAGAAAUGCGUUUAGUGCGUGUGAUCUGGUUUUGUAGAUUAUGUAACUGCGGCUCCUCCACUCGAAACAACGAUCUGCGUAGGCUAGUUUGUCUCUCAACCAGAAUUCAUGCCUCAUGGGUUUGUUCAAUGUUGUGUUGUAUUGUAUAAUUUAUAAUUUUCUAACAUGCUCGAACAUGUAGAAAUGAAAUUAUUUAGUGCAGCCAAUGCUAUGUUAUGUCUCCCUUUCAA